UUAUUGGAGAGUUUGAUCCUGGCUCAGGACGAACGCUGGCGGCGUGCCUAAUACAUGCAAGUCGAGCGAAUCAAUGGGAGCUUGCUCCCUGAGA
rnacentral:rRNA from 1 species